CGUCUGGAAAGGCGCGCGAUACAGGGUGACAGCCCCGUACACAAAAAUGCACAUAUUGUGAGCUCGAUGAGUAGGGCGGGACACGUGGUAUCCUGUCUGAAUAUGGGGGGACCAUCCUCCAAGGCUAAAUACUCCUGACUGACCGAUAGUGAACCAGUACCGUGAGGGAAAGGCGAAAAGAACCCCGGCGAGGGGAGUGAAAAAGAACCUGAAACCGUGUACGUACAAGCAGUGGGAGCCUCUUAAUGGGGUGACUGCGUACCUUUUGUAUAAUGGGUCAGCGACUUAUAUUCUGUAGCAAGGUUAACCGAAUAGGGGAGCCGAAGGGAAACCGAGUCUUAACUGGGCGUUAAGUUGCAGGGUAUAGACCCGAAACCCGGUGAUCUAGCCAUGGGCAGGUUGAAGGUUGGGUAACACUAACUGGAGGACCGAACCGACUAAUGUUGAAAAAUUAGCGGAUGACUUGUGGCUGGGGGUGAAAGGCCAAUCAAACCGGGAGAUAGCUGGUUCUCCCCGAAAGCUAUUUAGGUAGCGCCUCGUGAAUUCAUCUCCGGGGGUAGAGCACUGUUUCGGCAAGGGGGUCAUCCCGACUUACCAACCCGAUGCAAACUGCGAAUACCGGAGAAUGUUAUCACGGGAGACACACGGCGGGUGCUAACGUCCGUCGUGAAGAGGGAAACAACCCAGACCGCCAGCUAAGGUCCCAAAGUCAUGGUUAAGUGGGAAACGAUGUGGGAAGGCCCAGACAGCCAGGAUGUUGGCUUAGAAGCAGCCAUCAUUUAAAGAAAGCGUAAUAGCUCACUGGUCGAGUCGGCCUGCGCGGAAGAUGUAACGGGGCUAAACCAUGCACCGAAGCUGCGGCAGCGACACUAUGUGUUGUUGGGUAGGGGAGCGUUCUGUAAGCCUGUGAAGGUGGCCUGUGAGGGUUGCUGGAGGUAUCAGAAGUGCGAAUGCUGACAUAAGUAACGAUAAAGCGGGUGAAAAGCCCGCUCGCCGGAAGACCAAGGGUUCCUGUCCAACGUUAAUCGGGGCAGGGUGAGUCGACCCCUAAGGCGAGGCCGAAAGGCGUAGUCGAUGGGAAACAGGUUAAUAUUCCUGUACUUGGUGUUACUGCGAAGGGGGGACGGAGAAGGCUAUGUUGGCCGGGCGACGGUUGUCCCGGUUUAAGCGUGUAGGCUGGUUUUCCAGGCAAAUCCGGAAAACCAAGGCUGAGGCGUGAUGACGAGGCACUACGGUGCUGAAGCGACAAAUGCCCUGCUUCCAGGAAAAGCCUCUAAGCAUCAGGUAACAUCAAAUCGUACCCCAAACCGACACAGGUGGUCAGGUAGAGAAUACCAAGGCGCUUGAGAGAACUCGGGUGAAGGAACUAGGCAAAAUGGUGCCGUAACUUCGGGAGAAGGCACGCUGAUAUGUAGGUGAAGCGACUUGCUCGUGGAGCUGAAAUCAGUCGAAGAUACCAGCUGGCUGCAACUGUUUAUUAAAAACACAGCACUGUGCAAACACGAAAGUGGACGUAUACGGUGUGACGCCUGCCCGGUGCCGGAAGGUUAAUUGAUGGGGUUAGCGGUAACGCGAAGCUCUUGAUCGAAGCCCCGGUAAACGGCGGCCGUAACUAUAACGGUCCUAAGGUAGCGAAAUUCCUUGUCGGGUAAGUUCCGACCUGCACGAAUGGCGUAAUGAUGGCCAGGCUGUCUCCACCCGAGACUCAGUGAAAUUGAACUCGCUGUGAAGAUGCAGUGUACCCGCGGCAAGACGGAAAGACCCCGUGAACCUUUACUAUAGCUUGACACUGAACAUUGAGCCUUGAUGUGUAGGAUAGGUGGGAGGCUUUGAAGUGUGGACGCCAGUCUGCAUGGAGCCGACCUUGAAAUACCACCCUUUAAUGUUUGAUGUUCUAACGUUGGCCCCUAAUCGGGGUUGCGGACAGUGUCUGGUGGGUAGUUUGACUGGGGCGGUCUCCUCCUAAAGAGUAACGGAGGAGCACGAAGGUUGGCUAAUCCUGGUCGGACAUCAGGAGGUUAGUGCAAUGGCAUAAGCCAGCUUGACUGCGAGCGUGACGGCGCGAGCAGGUGCGAAAGCAGGUCAUAGUGAUCCGGUGGUUCUGAAUGGAAGGGCCAUCGCUCAACGGAUAAAAGGUACUCCGGGGAUAACAGGCUGAUACCGCCCAAGAGUUCAUAUCGACGGCGGUGUUUGGCACCUCGAUGUCGGCUCAUCACAUCCUGGGGCUGAAGUAGGUCCCAAGGGUAUGGCUGUUCGCCAUUUAAAGUGGUACGCGAGCUGGGUUUAGAACGUCGUGAGACAGUUCGGUCCCUAUCUGCCGUGGGCGCUGGAGAACUGAGGGGGGCUGCUCCUAGUACGAGAGGACCGGAGUGGACGCAUCACUGGUGUUCGGGUUGUCAUGCCAAUGGCACUGCCCGGUAGCUAAAUGCGGAAGAGAUAAGUGCUGAAAGCAUCUAAGCACGAAACUUGCCCCGA
rnacentral:rRNA from 1 species